GGCGGAGUAGCUCAGCUUGGCCAGAGCAGUCGGCUCAUACCCGAUAUGUCGACGGUUCAAAUCCGUCCUCCGCCA
rnacentral:tRNA from 1 species